CUAGCCACCUUCCUGGCUGUGGGCAGGAAACCGGAAGGGGUUCCUGAGCCCGCGAACCUGAAGCGGAAAUGGAAGUGUAACGUUUUUGAGGGAGACAGCUACCUCACUUAACAAGUCUCUGUAGUCUCAGAUGUGUGGCUCUUCCUCAAGUGUCUGGAGCUGAGAUGCGACCCAGGAAGGGAACUGUGGCUAGCUAAGGAGUCAAAGCUUGAUGUUACUUCCAGAUCUCAUGUCAACACUGAGCCCUCAAUUACUGGUGGCAGUUGCUCAGCAGACCCUGGGCAUGGGAAAGAAAAAGGGUCCACCUCGAGCCAUCUGCCUUCACCUGGCUGGAGAAGUGCUGGCUGUGUCCCGGGGGCUGAAACCUGCUGUGCUGUAUGAUUGCAACAGUGCAGGAGCUUUGGCACUCCAGAAUUAUCUGAAGGAGCUGCAAGGGCUAGGCUUUCUGACUCUGGGACUUCACAUUCUUGAAAUUGGAGAAAAUAACCUCAUUGUCAGCCCUGCACAUGUAUGUCAACACUUGGAACAGGUAUUGCUUGGUACCAUAGCCUUUGUGGAUGUUUCCGGCUCCCAACCUCACCCUUCUAUCUGUUCCCUGGACCAGCUUAAGGAUUUGAAGGACGUCGUGACAGAGAUCAUCACACAUUUGAAGGGGCUGCAGAGGGAUCUAUCCUUAGGAGUCUCCCACAGCAUGCUCCAUUCCUCAGACUGGAAUCUUUGUACUCUAUUUGGGAUCCUCCUGGGCUAUCCUGUCUCUUAUACCUUUCACCUGAACCAAGGAGAUGACAACUGCUUAGCCUUGACCCCACUACGGGUGUUCAGUGCUCGGAUCUCAUGGCUGCUAGGUCAAACCUCAGUCCUGCUCUAUUCCUUUAGUGUCCCAGAAAUCUUGUUCCCAGCCCUGAGGGACACUCUAAAUGUCUGGGAGAAGAACCUCAGAGCCCAAUUUAGGACUCAGAAUGACUUUGCUGACCUCAGCAUCUCCUCUGAGAUAGUCACACUGCCGGCUGUGGCCCUCUGACUUUAAUUUUUGUCCUCCUAUGUGGAAGGCAUUCAGUAAGUGCUCAUCUCUGGGUUAGGGGUGUCGAAUAGUGAUCAUUUAAAGUGCUGGUUUUAAGUGCCUGGGGACCCUAGAGAAGAAUGCUGUAUUCAGCUGGCCACAUCAUGAAUGGGAAUAGGUAGUGGUGGUGGUGAUGCUAGCAUUAGUAAUACAUAUUGGCCAUUUCUAUACUAGGAGGUCUUCUUUACUUAACAGAUGUGUCUGUUCAUUUUUCACUGGAUAAGAGUUAGAAGGAAAGAGACAGAAGGGGAAAAGAAGGGUUGUAGAGAACAAGCAGUAUACCUGUGUGUGGUAUCCUACCCUGUGUAGAUAGUGUCUUUAGAAAAGGAAGACUGAGUCCUUUCUGUAUGUUUCUGUACCUCCAACUGAAUUGGUCUAAGGGGAGUAGACCAGGAUGCUUAAGUGCCACACUUGUAAUAUGUUAUUUAGGAAUAAACUGAAGAUUCCAGGGAACAGUCUGGUGAGGUAAAGUUUAUUUAUUUAGGCUAAAAAAAUUGAAGUCAGAAAUCCCAAUUCAGUUGGAGGGUAAACCCAAGCUGUAAAGUACCCAAACCUUCUGUGUUUUUCAUUGAGUUGUUUGCUGCUGAUUUUUACUCCAGGCAGCUGUCACAAGUUAUUCAGAUUCUCAGGUUAUCUUUGUUGGCCAGGAAUACUGCCAGUGCUAUAGCAAUCACCACCGUCAGGAUGGGGAGCCACUGACCACAUUGCUUCUGUGUGGAGGGAAGGGAGACAGAAGAAAGCAGCCAUAAGUCACUUAGAGAAAAUAUGGGCAAAAGCACUCCUUCCUAUUCUAGCCUAAGGGAAGACCUUGGGUUGGUGCUAGAAAAAGCUUUUUACUUCACUGUUUCACUUUCUGUCACCUCUCUUGGGAUAAAACCACUUUACUAGUGGUCCCUGGCCCAGGGAUCAUGUCCAGUAGAGGCCAAACAUUUAAAUGCUGAUGUGAAAAAUUCAGGGUGGAAAAUAAUUCAGCAAAAUAAUAUUAUUCUCUUUAUAUGCCUUAGUACCUUUGUUGUCCUUCCCUGUCCUUGUCAUCAUGCUGGCAAUAGACUAAAAGAACAUCCUUUCAUACUUGAGUUAAUCCAGCUUGAGAAUCCCUUGCCUGAAAUACUUAGGACCAGAAGUGUUUCAAAUUUUGGAGGUUCAGAUUUAGUAAUAUUUGCCUAGACUUUACCAGUUGAGCAGAUCUCAUGAAAAAAAAAUCUGAAACACCAAAUACUCUAAAAUCUGAAACUUUUUGAACAUCAUGUCAAUGCUCAAAAAGUUUUGUAUUCAGAGAAUUUCUAUUUUUGAACAUUCAGCUUAAAAAUGCUCAGCCUAUAGCAAAUCUUUCCCUCAGGCCUUAAGAGUUCCACAGAAAUUGGACCUGGAUGCAUGAAUCAGUGUUUCAUGACUGCUGUACUUUCAGCAUGGACUAAAUCAAGCAGAAUAGGCAGAGUAUUCAGAGCAUUUCUGAUUUUGAACAUUCAGCUUAAGGAUGCUCAGCCUAUAGCAAAUCUUCCCCUCAGCCCUCAAGAAUUCCAUGGAAUUGGACUUAUGUACAUGAGUCAGUACAUAAGUACAUGUUUCAUGACUGCUAUACUUUCAGCAUGGACAAAAUCAAGCAGAAUAGACAGGAUGACUAGAUAUUGACAUGGGCUGGCAAAUUUUAUCUGUAAGACUUGGCUAAAAAGAAAUCAUCCCACCACCAUUUGUACAGGAGGAUGGACCCUCUUACUCUGGGAGGUGGCUGCUGGCUGUGGUUCAGCUCUUCUCGACAGUGCUGCAGCUUACGCAUGCAGGAGAGGUACUCGUCACUGAGGUUGUCUAACUCCGAAUGCAGUUCUCUGCACUGGGGAGAAUAUCAUCGGAGUCAUCAUCAUCAAUUCUAUCUUGAGACAGAACCCAGGAAGGGGAGACUGUCCUGAGUAAGGUGGAGACACUAGUGAUUUGGUUGGAGCUGAGCACAGAGUCAACUCAGGUGAUCUGAGAGGCAGUGGUGAGAAUCGAACCUUGUGCCUCACACAUGCCAGGUUCCUCCUCCUGAAGAACUGCAGUUGUCGAGCUCUCUGGAGCUGCUCUCUGUGCUGGGUCCUUAGUGCCUUCCCCACCUGGCGGCAAGUAGUCACGUUGGGGCGACAGCGGCGACUUUCACGGGUCUCCUGCCGGCGCUCACACUUGGCCUCAUAGCUCUCAGCCCACCGGGCCAAGGCAGGGGAGGGCCUGGGGUCUGGGCUGAUCAUGAUGACCUCUGAAGCACCUGUUGUGCUUGGCUUCCAGUUCCUUGAAUAGCUGCCUGGAUCUGCCAAAUGCCAAGAGGGAGGAGCCAGAAGAUGGGCAGAAAAAUGACUAUCUUCCCAAAUCAGGGGGCAGAAAUAGCACAGGGCUCUAUCCUGUGGGUUGAAAACUGAGGAUGAAGUGGUUUCCAAACACUGGGAGUCAGGACUCCUGUGCUUAAUCCUUAAGGAACUCAUAAAAAUCUAACAAAAGCAAUUUCCUGCUCCUAGCCUAUGUCCCACCUCUGUAAAGUGCACUGCCCCCUUCUUCCUCGACUAAACAUCUCACUAUUCUCUAAGUCAGAGGAACUUUAUAAACAAUUGAUAAAAAUAAUAAUAAAUUGAUAGCCUCUUGAAUAGCAGGUGUGUUUAUUUUCUAGACUUUUAGAGAAAUUAAUUUCCCCUUCUUUCCUACUAAACUAAAAGGAAAGUGGGCCUCUUGGCCUAAGUUGUUACUAAAAUAGAAUGAUACUUCUCCUGACCUGGAGGGAUAAAAAUGCCCCCUCAGGAAGUGAUCAGGCCUGGGACUGACACCCACUGCUCCCAUCUUAGCCCUUAGCAACCAACUUGUGGGCCCAGACCUUGUGUGUUUUAGGAGGGAAGCCUACCCGAACUCCUCCAUCAUGCCAUCCUGAUGUUGUUCCACUGACGUCUACUACCCCAUGGCCGGGUCUGGGCCCUGACUCUCAGGUGCAGAUCAAGUCAAAUCAGUAUUGGCUGAGCAUCUCCACAUGCCCACUAUCGACCCACUUCAGAGCAUCUGAAUUAACAUCUCUUGGAGAUGAGAGUUACCACACUUUUUAGGGUCACCUCCCUUUCAGGGUUGUCUGUUGUCAAGUUUGCUUUCCUAAGCCCGGAUGCAGGUUGUGCCUUCUAAACCAGUAAGCACAUGGAUUAUACCUCAUAAAGCUCCUCUAAACAACAGAGAAAUAAAACAAACAUGCAAAAGCAGUAACCCAAAGUCCCCAGGGAACAAGAGGCCACCUUUGAUAUCCCUCCACAUGGCCUUGCCUGCUGUCCACAUAGUACCCAAACCCUAAUCCCCUCUUCCUUCCUGUGCCUCUCUAUCCUACUCUCCUCUACCUACCUUCUGUAAAUUUGUUUAUUCUCCUAGGAAUCGCUGGUAGCUUUGUUGAGUUGGGAGUGGAAUUGGAUGAGCUGGUUUCUGAGCAUCAAAAAUUCUGUGCCCUGCCCCCUCUGCUCCCUGGAGUCAGACCAGGCACUGAUGAAGGAAGAGGUACUCCCCCUCACAGCUGCUGCCUCUUCUCUCCGACUCAUGACUUCAUUACCCACGGCCCUGGGAACAUAGUUCCUGGGUGGGUCAGAGGAGAGGAUCUCAGCUUCAACAGCCAGUAGGCAUUUGCCAGCUUUGGCCCUUUGGGUUUAUUUAUAAGCCAAACAGACUCAACAGGUAGCAGCUUCUCUGCUCCUUUGUUGGGACUUCACUGCCCAUCCCGGCUCAGUCUGGAGUUCUGCAGGUUUUGUUUCUCUUUCUCUGAUCACAGCACUCAUUCCCAGGGGACAUGGGUGGAGCAUUAUCACUCUCUGGAGGGGUAUUAUGUAGCCAUGCCUUGGGUACUCUCAAAUGCCUGACUUGAGGGCUGGAGGGGCACACUCUGGCCUUGGGCACUGCUGACCCUAAGAAGAAUUGUGAGGUUGUCAAUAUUUAUCCCCUACAUAUCAUCUUUGAAUGGCUUUUUUCCUCCCUCCUACCCCGUGGAUGUCCCUAGACAUCCCACCUGUUACUCUGUUUAUUUAAAAACUUAGUAAAGGGAGCUGGGGUUGUAGCUCAGUGGUAGAAUGCUUGCCUAGCAUGUAUGAGGUACUGAGUUUGAUCCUCAGCACCACAUAAAAAUUAAAAAAAUAAAAUAAAGGUAUUGUGUCUGUCUACAACUAAACAAAAAACAAAAAAAAAAAAUAAAAAUUAAAAAACCAAAGGAUCAGAGAGGCCCAUUUCAUGUUAAGUUAUAAAUGGCACGGUGGAAGAGAUUUGGAAUUAUGUGUACACAAAUUCUAUGUCCUGAAUGUACACUUGUGGCAUCCCAAAGUCAUAGCCCCUGGUUAUUCUGCCAUCCAUGGUGGAGGAGACUUUUGCUCUGUGGUGUGACUCUGUGGACUCAUGUCCUAGCUCCAUUAGUGUCUACCUCUGUGUAUUUUUAGACAAGGUAUUAAAUGUCCCUAAGCCUCAGUCUCCUUAUUUAUUAAAUGGGGUUAAAACCUAUCUGGAAAGAUUAUAAGAAUUAAAUGGCAAAAUGUACACCAUGUACCUGGUAUAUGGCAUACAAUAAAUGAUAGGUUUCUAUAUUAAUAAACAUAGUUAUUAUUAUCCUUAUGUUGGUGUUGGAUACUGAAGAUUUGGUGCUGUAAGAGAGAGGUCCCAGGCUAAAGUACUCCCAGGGCUAAGAAUGCUUGACCUCUUUCUCUAAUUCCCCCAACCCUUUCUCUCACUGACGAAGCAUAUUGUUUUCCAGAUGGAGGGGGUAUGGCCCCAGCUUAAAAUCACCUUUAUUUCUCUAAUCUUUGUUUGGGGUUGGGCUACAAGGAAAAAGGACUUCUCUGUGGUCCCAACAUAACCACCAUCUCAAUUAGGCCAAGCAGAAUGGCAAAGAAGAAAUGGGGGUGAGGAACUGGUAUCCAGCUUACCUGCACUGCACUAUUAAAAUGUGGGGUGUGAGGUCCUUCUCUAUUUGGCCUCAAGUUACCUUCAGCUUUGCCGUGGAGAUAAUUUCUCCAGUGUUGAAAAUUCCCCUACCUUUCGCCUAUUAAGAGGAAAAGGCUGUUGGGGAGAAGAUGGGCCUGAGAUGAGGUCUCUCUGGAUGCUUCACCUAGGCCAUCUAUAGGUCCACGGAACCAUGACUGCUCCAUUCUGCAACCUCAAGGCCAGAUAUUGGGAUUUAUUACUCAAGAGGGGAAUUGAGAUAGGAAUGGCCCCUUAGAGAAAGGAGGAUCCCUAUAUCCCUAGGCCCCCACAUCUGGUAGAAUUUGGAGUGACUUGGUGAGUGGAGAUAUAUCUGACCAUACUGAUUUUCUUAAGAAGAAACCAUGUGGGAUGGCUGAUGAAUUGGAAUAGGCUAUAGACACAAAAGGAACUGAUCCUUAAAGAGUUCAGAGAAAGGUUAUAAGGCCACUGCUCAGGCUUUCUGGCAGCCUAACAAGGCCCAGUUGUAGUUAGGAGGAAGAGGUGGUACUGGCUGGGGGAGGUUUUCCUCACUGCAAUAGGGAGAAACCAGGGUGCUGCUCUGUACUUUAUUGUGGCUUGUCAUUGCCUUUCCAAGUUCCUGCUCUUCUUCCUGGCCAUGUGUACAAUAGAGACAAUGGAUAGCUACCUGCAUGGGUCUGGCCUUCCUCAUCCAGAGCUCUCAAUAUGAGCUGAGGGAGAGGGUCCUGUCCCCAAGUUACUGGAAAACUAGCUUCACGUGAAAGGACCCCUGCUUUGAAGGGAACUAUAAAAGGUCAGUUAAUUCAUGCUGCCGUCACAGUAACCUAAACUCCAAACCAUGUGUGACCUACUUCUAAUCUAAUGGAUGGAGCAAGGGAGUCAUGGGAGCUGUAUCCCUGUGCCUGGCCGGGGCCUCAGGAAUCCCAUGCAAGAUGCUUUCUUGGUUACCUCAACCCUCAAUACUCUUAAACUACACCACCCACUCCUAUGUUUCCCUCCCUUCUAUUUUUCCAAACAAGCUUGGAUGGUGGAGUGCCUUCUGCCCCAACCCAAAGUCAAAGGUCCCAAACCUGACCCCAAAACACCCUUUUUUGCAGUUACCUCUGGGUCCCAGGCUCCAGGCUAAGCAGCUCAGGAAAACAUUCCAGUUCUUGGACAGAUCUUGGUUCAGGUCUCAGGUGGAGCACGGCAGUGACUGGGUAAAGUGCAGGUUGUCAAUCCAUGUUUCUGGGCUCCCUUAGCAUUUCCCUUCUUGGUACUGUCUUUCUUUUUGCACAGCAGCCUCACUGAAACAGGAAACAGACAAAGCCACAAUGCUCGCAAACCCCAGUUCCUCUGCUCUCCGUGCAAUCUGAGUGGGCCCCUGAGCCCUGGGGCCUCCAGGGCUGGGCUGAGGAGCUCCUCCCAUCAGAGAGCACCCCAGCUACCCUUUCUCCUGCUACCCUUUCUCCAGCUACCAGAUUGGCCUGAGCUCUUGGACAGUUUCAAGUCAAGAUCUGUUUCCAGGAUUAGACAAGGAUGCUCCUCUGGGUCCCAUGCCAACUUUUCAGUUUCUUUCUUUUUUUAAAAAUAUUUAUUUAUUUUUUAGAUGUAGUUGGACACAAUACCUUUAUUUUAUUUAUUCAUUUUUAUGUGGGGCUGAAGAUCAAACCCAGGGCUUUGCACAUGCUAGGCAAGCGCUCUACCGCUGAGCCUUUACUGCUGAGCCACAACCUCAGCCCCAACUUUGCAGUUUCUAUGAGUGGAAAAUGCCUUUUUUGUAGUAAGACCUAGAUGAGAUGUUCUCAGCAUAGGUUUUCAUGUGUAUUGGGUAGUUCUAUGUGUAAGGUUUUUCCCUUUCCCAGGUUGGAAUGGGAAGAGAUUUCAUUUUUCUGAAGACCUGGUGUCUUUUGCAGAAAUCUAGACCAAGGCCAGCUCUGGAUUUGCUCCUUCUUAAGCAAUGAAAAGGGGGUGAAAAGGAAGGUGGCUGAAGAUGAAGAGAGGAGUAGCAGGCAGAAUCAGGUCAAGAAAAUUUCCCAGUCAAUUAAACUAGGAAAUUUGGGGGAAAAUAAAAGGAAUCUGUAUGCAUUAAAAAAGAAACUAUUACAAAUGAUCUAGUUAGGGAAUUCCCAAGAAGUUCAGGAUAAAAUAAUGGAGAGGGCACUGGAUUUAGCCAAGCUCACUGAACCGAUUUGUAAACUCGUGUAAUUCACCUUGUCUAAAUGAGAGACUCACUACAGUGAUUGGAUGAUUUAUGUGACACCUCUGAGGCAGGUAAUGAACUGUGAUAUCAUUUAUUGCCAAAUAUGGUGGUACACACUUGUAAUCCCAGCAACUCAGGAGGCUGAGGCAGGAGGAUUGCAUGUUUGAGGCCAGCCUCAAAGACUUAGUAAGAUCCUGUCUCAAAGCAAAAAGGGAUGGGGAUGUAGCUCAGUGGUAGAGUGCUUACCUUCCAUGUGGGAGGCCCUGGGUUCAACACCUAGUGCCACAAGCAGACAAAGAUAACAUUUGUUAAUCUGAGGAAUUUAUUAGGAUCCUCUAUACUGCUUCUACUUCCUCGAUUCUCUGAAGAGAAAAAAAAAAAAACAGGAAUAGGCAGUUGAAAAGAACAGGA